rnacentral:rRNA from 1 species
UACGAAGGGGGCUAGCGUUGUUCGGAAUUACUGGGCGUAAAGCGCACGUAGGCGGAUCGACCAGUCAGGGGUGAAAUCCCGAGGGCUCAACCCUGGAACUGCCUUUGAUACUGUCGAUCUGGAGUAUGGAAGAGGUGAGUGGAAUUCCGAGUGUAGAGGUGAAAUUCGUAGAUAUUCGGAGGAACACCAGUGGCGAAGGCGGCUCACUGGCCCGAUACUGACGCUGAGGCACGAAAGCGUGGGGAGCAACAGGG